GAAUCCCGACGUGUUUUUUUACGUAUUGCGUCAUCAGUGUGGGCGUUGCUCCCUUUCUUUCACUGUCUAUGGUUGCUCCCACAACAACAUGCGUCGUAGGCGGACCGAGGGUACUCACGAGCCAAGUGACAGCGGAGACGGUUAACCAGCUAUAACAACAGGGCCUACUUAGUCACUACAGUUGUCUCAACACAAUAUUGAAGGUUUUUGUGACAGUCAGAGAAAAAAUAAGCUCGUUAAGUGACGUUUUUCUCACUUGAGGGUGUCUGGUUUCCUCAGUCCGAGGGAUUGCGAUGCCCUCUGACUUUAUCUCCCUUUUCAGCGGGGACCUCGACCUGAAUUCUCCCAGAUCCUUGUACUCAAAAGAAUCAGCGUAUGACCUUCUUCCCAGAGAGCUACAGUUGCCUUCCACCACUCAGCUGAGCCCAAAAGUCAUGAGUCAAAAAAGUGGCGGAGAGGCAGGGCCUCCCCCUUCAGCUGCUCUAGCAUCAGGUAGGAUCCUGCUUUAUUUCUCCUCUGCGAGCAGGACUGAUCAUGCCCCACCCCGAAAACACAACUUAUGUAACAGUCUGUAUCCAUAGAAAAAUAAACUUCUGCUUAUGACAGAAAAGCCUGUCAGACAACCAGCCUGCUGCUCUGUGAUCCUCACGUCAGGCCCCCCCAAAAAAGAAAGAAAACUACUUAAAAUGAACUUGCGGCCUUGGAGAUGCCAUCUAUCUGUACCUGCUUGUGAAAUAUUGUGUCAGUGGGAGUGUUGUUGUGAAUACUUGUGAUCUGCUGUAUGUAGGGGUCUCUUGCAGCAACAGUGUUAAAAUGUGGGUCAUUAAAAUAGAUUAAUGGUUUAAACCGUACACGGAACCCGAUAAUGAUGAGAAAGCCCUAAAGAGCUCAUUAUUUUAAAAUAGUUGCAUACGCA